AUGGUCCCCGAAGAUGACAAUGUCCUCCCCGCAGCUCGGGGAGAUGUGUGUAAGGAUCUGCAGUUUGGGAGGCCCGAGCUAACGGGCUGGGCUGGAAAGUUUUGGAAGGGACAGGGGAGCGCGGCAGCCUGCCCAAAACCACCAUCAGAGACGGCCGCGCACCCCUCCCCUGCGCCGCCGGCUCCCUCCCCCGGCCCCGGGCGCUCGGGGUGGGAUUCUCCCCCCGAAAGGCUCCCGGGCCGCCGAGCGCCGCUCCCGCCCCGGCCGGGUCGGGCCAUGGGCAGCGGCAGCAGCCGGCGGCGGGGCCCCGCGGGCAGAGCGGGGCAGAGCCGGGACCCGCCGGGCACCGCGCCGGCCGACGGCGACGGAGCGGCGGCACCGCCCGGCCCCGGCCGCCGAGCCGCGGCCGCCGGCGGCAGCGCCGAGCCCCGGGCGGGCGGGAGCGGCGCGGAGGCGGCGGGAGGCGGCGGCGGGGCCCCGCUGCAACAGGCGGCUUUGUCACUCAGAAGCCCACCAGGCCCAGAGAACAACAACCUUGACCAGCAGUGCCCAGAAAGCAACAAGAAGUCAUUGGGGCAGUCCACAAUAUUGUAUGAUUACUCAGAGGAGGAGCUCAUGGCCAGCAUCGAGCGGGAGUACUGCCGCUGA
rnacentral:lncRNA from 1 species